AUGACUGAUGAGCAGUGGAAUGAGCUGGUGGAAAGCUGGAAGGAUCCCAAAAAGAUGGGGAUAUGUAAAAUUAACAAAAAUAAUCGAGCUCAAGUUAAGUUUCACCAAACUAUUGGCGCGUGCAGCUAUCCUGUGCAUUGUGAUAAUCUGGGCGACAAAUACAAAGAUAAAGAACCCACUGCAUUGGAUUUGUUCAAGGAGUGUCACUACAACAAGAAAAAGAAAAGUUACACUGAUGUCGUGCAAGCUGCAAUUACUGGGAUGGAAAACAAGGCCUCUCAACCUACAGAAGAUGGUCAGGAAUCAAACUCUGCAACCGAGGUUGUAGCUGAAGUGCUUGCUAAGCACACUAAGAAGCCAAGAUUUCUUCAGCAUGUGGGGAUCUAG
rnacentral:rRNA from 1 species